GAUGAAGAACGUAGCAAAAUGCGAUAAGUAAUGUGAAUUGCAGAAUUCAGUGAAUCAUCGAAUCUUUGAACGCACAUUGCGCCCGCCAGUAUUCUGGCGGGCAUGCCUGUUCGAGCGUCAUUUCAACCCUCAAGCCCUCGGGUUUGGUGUUGGGGAUCGGCGAGCCUUUCUGGCAAGCCGGCCCCGAAAUCUAGUGGCGGUCUCGCUGCAGCCUCCAUUGCGUAGUAGUAAAACCCUCGCAACUGGAACGCGGCGCGGCCAAGCCGUUAAACCCCCAACUUCUGAAUGUUGACCUCGGAUCAGGUAGGGUUACCCGCUGAACUUAAGCAUAUCAAUAAGCGGAGGA
rnacentral:misc_RNA from 1 species